CUACAGGCUACUUCGGUAGUAUUUCCGAACUGGAGCUGCCUUGCCUUCCGGUCCCCAUGCGCAAAUGCGGAAGUGCGCUGGCCAGAGGUGACUGGUUUCCGGCCCGUGGUGCAGCACCGGCUUCCCGGAGACGUGUAACGGACGAGGGGCCGCGGCCAUGGCCGAGAGGAAGAGUAACGGCGGCGGCGCCUCCGCCUCCUCGGCGGGCACUAACUUACUCUUCUCCUCCUCGGCCACGGAGUUCAGUUUCCACGUGCCCUUCAUCCCCGUCACGCAGGCGGCGGCCGCCUCGGCCUCCCUGCUCCUGCCCGGAGAGGAUGCCACAGAUGUUGGUGAGGAGGACAGCUUCCUUGGUCAGACGUCGAUGCACACGUCCACCCCACAGACAUUUAGUUACUUCCCUCAGGUAUCAAGCAGCAGUGAUCCUUUUGGGAACAUUGGACAGUCACCCUUAACAAUGACAGCAACAUCACUUGGACAGUCCACAUUCUCUAGGCCCCCGCCUGCUCUGCCUUUUACAACAGGGUCCCAAGACGGGGUGAAUGCGUUUCCACCAUCUGUUUCAAAGGCUCCAUAUGGUGCUCCACCUUCCUCGCAGAUGGAAACCAAUACUUACUUGCCUUCUCAGCCCAGCAGUCUCCCUCCUUCAAGUUUUGGGAUCCCGCCUCAAGGAAAACCCCAACACGGAUACAACCCCUAUCGCCAUACCCCUGUUAGCAGCAGGGCGAAUCCCUAUAUCACGCCCCCACAGCUGCAGCAGAGCCAAACGCCAGGCCAUCCCUUCCAUCCUCCACCCUCCGGACCUCCUGUGCAGACCUACCAGGUGCCGCCAGGGCCUUUGCCACCGGUUCCUCCUUCAGUACAGUCACCAGCACAGCAGCAGGUGCUUGCUAGACCUGCAGGCCCCUCUAUGCAGGGACCACCUCCUUUUGUACUUCAGAACCAGUAUGAACCAGUUCAGCCCCACUGGUUUUACUGUAAGGAAGUAGAAUACAAACAACUAUGGAUGCCUUUCAGUGUGUUUGACUCUUUGAAUCUUGAAGAAAUCUACAAUUCAGUCCAGCCAGACCCAGAGAGUGUGGUUCUAGGCACAGAUGGAGGGCGCUAUGACGUUUACCUCUAUGACCGGGUGAGGAAAGCCGUGUAUUGGGAUGAGGAACCAACCGAAGUGAGGCGCUGUACUUGGUUUUACAAGGGGGACACCGACAGCAGAUUUAUUCCCUACACAGAGGAGUUCAGUGAAAAACUAGAGGCUGAGUACAAAAAAGCUGUUACCACAAAUCAGUGGCACCGAAGAUUAGAGUUUCCAGGCGGAGAGACCAUCGUUAUGCACAAUCCGAAGGUUAUUGUGCAGUUCCAGCCUUCCUCAGUGCCUGAUGAGUGGGGAACUACCCAGGAUGGACAGACCAGGCCCAGGGUUGUAAAGCGAGGGAUUGAUGACAGUCUGGAUGAGAUUCCUGAUGGGGAAAUGCCUCAGGUUGACCAUUUGGUGUUUAUGGUGCAUGGCAUUGGACCUGUGUGUGAUUUGCGCUUUAGAAGCAUUAUUGAGUGUGUGGAUGAUUUUAGGGUAGUUUCUCUGAAAUUGCUGCAGACACAUUUCAAGAGAUCUUUAGAUGAUGGGAAGAUCAGCAGAGUGGAGUUCCUUCCAGUUCCCUGGCACGGCGCCUUGGGUGGGGAUGCCACAGGCGUUGACAGGAAUAUUAAGAAAAUUACUUUGCCAAGUAUUGGCCGGUUUCGUCACUUUACCAAUGAAACCUUGCUAGAUAUUUUAUUUUAUAACAGCCCCACCUACUGCCAGACAAUUGUGGAAAAAGUGGGAAUGGAGAUAAAUCGUCUCCAUGCCCUCUUCAUGAGUCGGAACCCAGACUUCAAAGGAAAGGUCUCUGUUGCAGGUCACAGUUUAGGUUCUUUAAUAUUGUUUGAUAUCCUAUCUAAUCAAAAAGAUUUGAAUAUCUCAAAAUCUCCGGGGCCUGCAGCUAUUGCUAAUGGAGUUGUGAAGCAGCUGAAUUUUCAAGAAAAGCAGAUGCCUGAAGAGUCAAAGCUGCCUUUGGAUGAAUCGUGUGACCUUGAUGUUGAAAAUGAAAAAGUUCUAACUUUGCAAGAAACUCUAGAAGCACUUAGCCUCUUUGAAUAUGUUAGCACUUUUGAAAAAGAAAAGAUUGAUAUGGAAUCUCUGCUCAUGUGUACAGUUGAUGACCUGAAGGAAAUGGGGAUACCUCUUGGACCCAGGAAGAAGAUAGCUAACUUUGUAAAACGUAAAGCAGCCAAACUGGAACAGAAAAAAGCAGCAUUGGAGAAGAAGGCAGUGAUGGCCACUUUGACAAAAGGACAAGAUGAAAGUGCUCAGAAAGCUAAAGAAAUGGCUUCUCUGCCUUCAGAGUCGAACGAGUCAAAGAAGAAACUUCCAGUCGGUGCUUAUGUGUCUUCUGUGCGUGUUGAUUAUGAGUCUUUUGAAGUUGGCACAGGACAGGUUUCUGUUUCUUACAACUCACUAGACUUUGAACCAGAAAUUUUCUUUGCCUUGGGAUCUCCGAUUGCUAUGUUUCUCACUAUCCGAGGAGUGGACAGGAUAGCUGAGAACUACAGGCUUCCAACUUGUAAAGGAUUCUUCAAUAUUUAUCAUCCACUUGAUCCAGUGGCAUAUAGAUUAGAGCCUAUGAUUGUUCCAGAUUUAGACACAAAAGCAGUUCUCAUUCCACACCACAAAGGCAGAAAAAGACUUCAUCUAGAGUUGAAAGAAAGUCUCUCUCGUAUGGGAUCUGAUUUGAAGCAGGGUUUUAUUAGUUCUCUGAAAAGUGCUUGGCAAACGCUAAAUGAGUUUGCCCGCGCACAUACUUCUUCAGCUCAGUUGCAAGAAGAAUUGGAGAAAGUCGCCAAUCAAAUCAAAGAGGAAGAAGAAAAGCAAGUAGUUGAAGCAGAAAAGAUUGUUGAAAGUCCAGAUUUUUCCAAGGAUGAAGACUACUUAGGAAAGGUUGGAAUGUUAAACGGAGGCCGCCGAAUUGAUUAUGUUCUUCAAGAAAAGCCAAUAGAGAGUUUUAAUGAAUAUCUUUUCGCUCUUCAGAGUCAUUUAUGCUAUUGGGAAUCUGAAGAUACUGCCCUUUUGUUACUUAAAGAAAUUUAUAGGACAAUGAACAUUAGUCCGGAGCAGCCUCAGCAUUGAUCAGACUUCUAUUUUUGGUGAAGGGUUCCUCUGUUGAAUGACACCACCAGCAUCUUUCUGCCAAAAUGUUGGCUCUUGCUGCCUCAUGGUUACAAGAUGUCCCAUGGUUCCAGAUAUCUCAUCUGUAUUCAUGGCAUGAUUAGUGGGGAAGGAAGUUCCAGUUUAAAUUAUGUCGCUAAGAGGAUCUUCAGAGGCUGUUCUGUUUGCUCCUGUUCCUGUGAUGGGUGACAACAGUUGCUCAGAUGCAAUUCUCAGAUGUAGAGAUUCAUUUAAAAGAAAAUGCACAGAACGAAAAUCUAGCGAAAAGAAUCAGUACCACAUUUGGAUAAUAUAGAUGAGAAAAUACAACUAUAAAAAUGAUGCAAUGAAAACUUCCUCAGAUCUGUUUAGUUACAUGUGAUAUCAAUGAAGAAAUACUUGUAGCAUGCAAAUGGUUGUUUCUAUUUUUACAAAACUAUUGUCAGUGGGCUUACCUUUUUCUUUUAUUAGUGCAGUAUGGACUUGUUGAGAAACUAUAGAAACAUGAUUUUUAGAAAUUAUAUGUAGUGCUCUAAAUGUGAAUUGUAGUUAUGAGCUGCUUUGAUGCAGGGUCCUUCUGUUUGUGAUGAGAAAGGUCUGAGGUCUCGUAUUUCAAGCUGGAUCUGUGGUCUAUAACGCUUCAUGCCCACUGAGAGUCUGGCUAUGGAGGAGGUAAUGGCUCUCCUAGCCUAGCUCCAGGGGAUGAGGCGGCAAGUGACAAGUUCUCAUUUUGUCACCUGAAGUAGCAGAGCUACACAUCAUUGCUGAAGUUCCACUUAAUGUGAGAACCAAAGUAGAAGUUUGUGUUUUUUGAUUCAUAUUAAUUUCUCUUAUACCAAAGUAUUUGAAAGGAUGAAAUGUACUGCUUUUAGGCUGUAAAAUUACUUCAUGAAAAGACUGCUCUAUAAUAUUUCACUUUGUUUUACUAUAAAUUCAAAUGAUCUAAAUAUUUUCCUAAUAUAUAGGAAUAGUGAUUUUCUUCUUUUAUUAGGUAAUAGAAAACUUGACGUUGUUUACAUAGUUCUCAUGGAACAUGAAAUUUUUUGAAAGUGACAUGAUACACAUUUUUUUGUGUAUAUAUCCUAAUUAGUGUGAAUAAAACAGUAACAUUGAUACAUUUUUUUAGGCAGCAACCUUCUGUAUUUCUCAUGUCUUCCUUGAAAGUAUUUGUGUGUUUAGUGUUCAUUCUGUUUUCAUUGUUAGUAGCUACUGUGUUGUGCUGACCCAGAACUUCAGCAUUGCUGCUCGUUAGAACAGGAAGGGUUUAGAGCUUUAGUUGACCCCAGACAACAUAGAUUCCAACCACCUCAUUCUCUAGCUGUGGACACUAGCUGUGGACACGACACUAAAUGCCUUUCCUAGACUGGGAGGUGGCAGAUCUGGGCUGAAGCAUAGUUUUCUUGACUCCCUUUUGGCCUUCAUUUCUUUAUACCAGGAUAAUCACUUUUCACUUUUAUUUCCUAAUACUGAUGAAGUAAAAGUACAUGAGGGUUAUUUAUGUAUAUUUUAAUAAAACCCAGUUUGAUCUUU